rnacentral:rRNA from 1 species
AUUGAACGCUGGCGGCAGGCCUAACACAUGCAAGUCGAGCGGAUGAAGGGAGCUUGCUCCUGGAUUCAGCGGCGGACGGGUGAGUAAUGCCUAGGAAUCUGCCUGGUAGUGGGGGAUAACGUCCGGAAACGGGCGCUAAUACCGCAUACGUCCUGAGGGAGAAAGUGGGGGAUCUUCGGACCUCACGCUAUCAGAUGAGCCUAGGUCGGAUUAGCUAGUUGGUGGGGUAAAGGCCUACCAAGGCGACGAUCCGUAACUGGUCUGAGAGGAUGAUCAGUCACACUGGAAGUGAGAGACGGUCCAGACUCCUACGGGAGGGAGCAGUGGGGAAUAUUGGACAAUGGGCGAAAGCCUGAUCCAGCCAUGCCGAGUGUGUGAAGAAGGUCUUCGGAUUGUAAAGCACUUUAAGUUGGGAGGAAGGGCAGUAAGUUAAUACCUUGCUGUUUUGACGUUACCAACAGAAUAAGCACCGGCUAACUUCGUG